ACAAAACACAGCAUGGAGGAGACGACUGCGAGCGAGACAUUUACAAACUAACUUAGCGAUCCAGCGUGUGGAAACAUUUUGGCAUUUGCAAACACGGAGGUGUUCGAAAUAAGUCGGUCGCUGUUUGUAGAAUAUGUAGAAGACAAAUAAAAACCACAGAAACACGACGAAUCUUUCCGGCCAUCUACUAAGGCGCCGUGGGAUUAAACAACGCCGACAGUCAGAACCUCUAGCAGCGUUACCGCUGCAGCAGCAGCAGAAGGUCCUGUUCCCGUAUCCAUUUCCAUCUCCCUGGCACUGAUGGCCUUGCUUUGACAAAUCUAAAGCAACAACGGGGCAACAGAAGAG
ensembl:lncRNA